ensembl:antisense Gm43735 predicted gene 43735
UUCUUUGCUGGUGUUGGGAAGCAUAUGCUUGACCUUGCUUUUCCCCCACCAGUGUACCCACACCCAGAAUUCUGUAGCAAGACAUCCUUCAUUACAACCUCUUAUGAACUCAGGUACCCUAUGAGGCAAAUCAAUCACCCAAAUUGAUGAAGCUUGUCCAAAACGGGGUGGCUUCCCAGGGUGCAGCAUUUUCAGUGUGAAAAUUUGGAAAUCCCUAGAUAAACCAAGGUGAGUAGAUCACUUCAUCAAUUAGGGUAAGGGGAUACCAGAGGCUAGUGUUUUCUUUGUCUCUGCCUUGGAUGUUCUAUUGGUUGACCAAUUAUGAGGGGAUCAAGGAGACACAAGAAAAGAUCUCAUAGACUGGUCAGCAAAAAAGUGGUGGAACUGAGUCAGAGGGGAAGAAAGAAGAAGAAGUGCAGGCAGAAUGGAGGCUGUAAAGAGUCACCAGGUAGAAAAACAAGUAGGCCAUAUGGGCACCUGUCUGGAUGACAAAAAGGUAAGGAUAGAAGAGUAGGAGAUGGGGAAAAAAGCCCAGCUGGGAGAUUAGAUUUGGAGAUCAUCCAGGAAUUGCUACAAUGUAGUCAGGACUGAAAUCUUGGCUCCUUAAAUGUAUCAGAGAACCUUAAAUACUAGUGAGCUAAUGCUGGGCAUGGCGGCACAGGCCUUUAAUUCCAGCACUCAGGAGGCAAAGGCAGGGGGAUUUCUGAGUUCUCGAGGCCAGCUUGGUCUACAGAGUGAGUUCCAGGAAAGCCAGAGCUAUACAGAGAAACCCUGUCUCAAAAAACAAACAAACAAACAAACAAACAAAC